rnacentral:tRNA from 1 species
GCGGAAAUGGCGGAAUUGGCAGACGCGCUAGUUUCAGGUACUAGUGAUCAGUAGAUCAUGCAGGUUCAAGUCCUGUUUUCCGCACCA